AACGAGCGCUGGCGGCAUGCCUAACACAUGCAAGUCGAACGAGACCUUCGGGUCUAGUGGCGCACGGGUGCGUAACGCGUGGGAACCUGCCCUUAGGUUCGGAAUAACUCCCCGAAAGGGGUGCUAAUACCGGAUAAUGUCUUCGGACCAAAGAUUUAUCGCCUUUGGAUGGGCCCGCGUUGGAUUAGCUAGUUGGUAGGGUAAAAGCCUACCAAGGCGACGAUCCAUAGCUGGUCUGAGAGGAUGAUCAGCCACACUGGGACUGAGACACGGCCCAGACUCCUACGGGAGGCAGCAGUGGGGAAUAUUGGACAAUGGGCGAAAGCCUAAUCCAGCAAUGCCGAGUGAGUGAUGAAGGCCUUAGGGUUGUAAAGCUCUUUUACCCGGGAUGAUAAUGACAGUACCGGGAGAAUAAGCUCCGGCUAACUCCGUG
rnacentral:rRNA from 1 species